UACGGAGGGUGCAAGCGUUAUCCGGAUUCACUGGGUUUAAAGGGUGCGUAGGUGGGCAAGUAAGUCAGUGGUGAAAUCUCCGGGCUUAACCCGGAAACUGCCAUUGAUACUAUUUGUCUUGAAUACUGUGGAGGUCAGCGGAAUAUGUCAUGUAGCGGUGAAAUGCUUAGAUAUGACAUAGAACACCAAUUGCGAAAGGCAGCUGGCUACACAAAUAUUGACACUUGAGGCACGAAAGCGUGGGGG
rnacentral:rRNA from 1 species